UACGGAGGGUGCAAGCAUUAAUCGGAAUUAUUGGGCGUAAAGGGCGCGUAGGCGGAAAUAUAAGUCAGAUGUGAAAUCCCGGGGCUCAACCCCGGAACCGCAUUUGAAACUGCAUUUCUAGAGGAUAGGAGGGGAAAAUGGAAUUCCACAAGUAGCGGUAAAAUGCGUAGAUAUGUGGAAGAACACCAGUGGCGAAGGCGAUUUUCUAUCUUAUUCCUGACGCUGAGGCGCGAAAGCAAGGGGAUCAAACAGG
rnacentral:rRNA from 1 species